CAGUCGCCGCGGGAAUACAGAGGGUGCGAGCGUUAAUCGGAUUUACUGGGCGUAAAGCGUGCGUAGGCGGCUUUUUAAGUCGGAUGUGAAAUCCCUGAGCUUAACUUAGGAAUUGCAUUCGAUACUGGGAAGCUAGAGUAUGGGAGAGGAUGGUAGAAUUCCAGGUGUAGCGGUGAAAUGCGUAGAGAUCUGGAGGAAUACCGAUGGCGAAGGCAGCAAUCUGGCCUAAUACUGACGCUGAGGUACGAAAGCAUGGGGAGCAAACAGGAUUAGAUACCCCAGUAGUCCCUGUCUCUUAUAC
rnacentral:rRNA from 1 species